rnacentral:misc_RNA from 1 species
GAUGAAGAACGUAGUAAAAUGCGAUAAGUAAUGUGAAUUGCAGAAUUCAGUGAAUCAUCGAAUCUUUGAACGCACAUUGCGCCCGCCAGUAUUCUGGCGGGCAUGCCUGUUCGAGCGUCAUUUCAACCCUCAAGCACAGCUUGGUGUUGGGACUCGCGUUAAUUCGCGUUCCUCAAAUUGAUUGGCGGUCACGUCGAGCUUCCAUAGCGUAGUAGUAAAACCCUCGUUACUGGUAAUCGUCGCGGCCACGCCGUUAAACCCCAACUUCUGAAUGUUGACCUCGGAUCAGGUAGGAAUACCCGCUGAACUUAAGCAUAUCAAUAGGCGGAGGA